GAUGAAGAACGUAGCGAAAUGCGAUAAGUAAUGUGAAUUGCAGAAUUCAGUGAAUCAUCGAAUCUUUGAACGCACAUUGCGCCCGCCAGUACUCUGGCGGGCAUGCCUGUUCGAGCGUCAUUUCAACCCUCGGGCCCCGCAUUCGUGCGGGCCCCGGCGUUGGGGACCGGCCUCCGCAUCGGACGGCCGCCCCCGAAACCCAGUGGCGGUCCCGCCGCGGCCUUCUCUGCGUAGUAGCAUACACCUCGCACUGGAGAGCGGCGCGGCCACGCCGCAAAAGAAACGAACUUUCUGAAGGUUGACCUCGGAUCAGGUAGGAAUACCCGCUGAACUUAAGCAUAUCAAUAAGCGGAGGA
rnacentral:misc_RNA from 1 species